GUGUUGCUAGUGUUUUAGAGAGUUUAAUAGUACCUGAUAGUCGGAGGUGUACGUCCACGGGUGUUGUUAGAGCCAAAUACACUUUCUGUCUGUCAAGUUGAUGACGUCACUAAAGGGGUUGGCUCCAAGGCCAAGUACCUGGCUAUUUAGGGAGGAGUCAGGAUCUUGCUCAGGUGUUGCUGAGUAGAGGUGCAACAGUUUUUGACUUUGCCAGGCUGGUAUUUGUUUGCUCCCGUGUAUUUUCUGUUUUUGUACAAAGUGUGUUAUAUAAAUGUGACUUUAUGAAAUUAAAUAUUUUUGUUAAACAUGGACACAAUUUUGGACAUCAAUUAUUAGCCGGCUGCACACGUCUGAACUAGCUUCAUUUAUAUUCGGCAAGCAGUAGCAGUAAUAGUAUAGGACUUUACCGCUCCAGGUGUGUUGACGCCAUGUCUCAGGGAAGUCGACGGCAGCUUCAUGGACGGCACAAUCUCAGCUUUUCUCCGAUCAGGACAUUCACUCCUGCUGCAGCUGCCAGAGGGAGUUCUCCGCCUCUCGCCUCUCCAUCCACCACUGCCGCGCCUGCGGUCAAGGCGUGUGCGAGGACUGCUCGCAGGAGCGGCGCACAGUGCCCUCCAGGGGGUGGAAUCACCCCGUGAGGGUGUGCAGCGUUUGCAGCCAGAAGACUGGAGAACUCUAACAGGAGCAUAAAAAGAGGACAUUUUGGUGGCAUUUCCAUUUUGUACUUGCAGUCGAUCAGUUGAUGACUAAAGGCUACGUUCACACUGCAGGGUAAACUCUUAAUUCGGAUGUUUUGUUAAAUCCCAUCUUUUUAUGUAGUCAUAAAGUGUUUUGUAAUGUCAACAAAAUGUGUCCCUGAAGUGACACACAUGUAAUGACAUCACACACAACGCAGUGUGUUCACUGAAGUAAACUUGGCUCCAAUUCCA